rnacentral:rRNA from 1 species
CACGUAGGGUGCGAGCGUUGUCCGGAAUUAUUGGGCGUAAAGAGCUCGUAGGCGGUGUGUCGCGUCGGCCGUGAAAACCUGCAGCUUAACUGUGGGCUUGCGGUCGAUACGGGCAUCACUGGAGUUCGGCAGGGGAGACUGGAAUUCCUGGUGUGGCGGUGAAAUGCGCAGAUAUCAGGAGGAACACCGGUGGCGAAGGC